GGACCACUCCCGUCAGUUCCGUCUCCUCAACCACCUCGCGACAAUAACAGCUGAACGUGCCGCGCCCUGUGCUCCCUUCUGGCCGGAUGCCACAGACCCCUCUAGGGUAUAAAACCCUACGCCUAGCAUCCCUCACCCUUCUUCCUCCCCUCAUAGUCCUCGGGUCACCUCAGGAAGUUGGGCGUCGCCGCUACCGCACGGAGCCAUUGUCGCUGCCGCUUGCCAAUUCGUGACCGAGCGUUCGUGUGCAACUCUGAAGUCCUCGGGUUGCUCUGGGGGCGUGCCGUUUCCCCAACUAAAGGAAGCAACCACGCAUGGCCGGUUGAAGCACAUCGGUGGCACGGGAUUUUGGCCGCGGCCGCGCGUCACCGUGGACUGGAGCCUCUGCGCUACCUUAACCAGACGACCCAGUGGCCGAGGAUCCAGCUG
rnacentral:lncRNA from 7 species